UACAGAGGGGGCAAGCGUUGUUCGGAAUUACUGGGCGUAAAGGGCGCGUAGGCGGCCUGCUAAGUCGAACGUGAAAUCCCUGGGCUCAACCCAGGAACUGCGUCCGAUACUGGUUGGCUUGAAUCCGGGAGAGGGAUGCGGAAUUCCUGGUGUAGCAGUGAAAUGCGUAGAUAUCAGGAGGAAUACCGAUGGCGAAGGCAGGAUCUCUGGGCUGACACUGACGCUCAUGCACGAAAGCGUGGGGAGCAAACAAGG
rnacentral:rRNA from 1 species